GGUGGUUGGUAGAGAUUAGGAGAGGAAUUUGGUUUAUUGUUAUUUUUCCAGUUUCUUAAUUUGAUUUUGACUUAUUACUUUUAUUUGAUUCAUUUGAUUUUAUUCACUUUUAUUUGGUUUAUUAUUUUACUUUUUUAUUUUAACACUUUUAUGUUACUUUUUUGUUCUCUUCUCCCUUUCCCCUCCUUGCGCUUUGUGGACCUGCUGGCUUGAACAUGGGCAUCACACACAGGAACUGAAGUGGCACUUCCAUCAUCUGCUCUGGAGCUUCUGACAGAGACCCCCAAUGCUUCACACCUACUCCUCCUGCUUAACGACCUCUGAUGUUACUCCAUAGAGGAAAGUGGGGAGCCAAAAAACCUGGCAGCCAGCUGGCCUUUGCUCGUAGGUUCCCCCAUCUCAGAAUCAUCUAAGUCUGAGUCAGCACCUUUUAACUCUUCUGCUCUUCGCUACCCCUGCCAAACUUGGUAGAAAAAUAGACUAAGCAAAUCCUUCCUUGGCAGAUAAGACCAAUUCCUGUCAGCGAGGUUUUGAGACAACUGCAAGGUGUGAUAUGCUGGCAAUGAAAUGGUGCAUGCUAUCUUGUACUUUUAAAUUGAAUCUUUCCAUGUUUUGUAUUUUAUAGCUUUGUUAGC